rnacentral:rRNA from 1 species
GACGGGUGAGUAACGCGUUGGUAAUCUACCUUACACUGGGGGAUAACAUCUGGAAACGGGUGCUAAUACCGCAUAUGUGCAAAGCUGGGAUGUUUUGUACGAAAGAUUCAUUGGUGUAAGAUGAGCCUGCGUAUGAUUAGCUAGAUGGUGGGGUAACGGCCUACCAUGGCGAUGAUCAUUAGUUGGUCUGAGAGGAUGGCCAGCCACAGUGGGACUGAGACACGGCCCAAACUCC